rnacentral:sRNA from 12 species
CGCCAUGACGAGCACCAUUCUCCUCGUAGGAACGCGCACCAGCCGGGCGGCCGCAUGGGUCGCCGGAAGCAAGCUGGUGCGCGAAAAACAGGCCCUUCCGGGGCCUUUUUAUUGGCCGAAA